GAAGAGGAGGACUGCAGAGACUCAAAAGAUCUGGUUUGAGGUGAAAUACUUCACUGAUUGAAGAAGUGUGUGACUGGAAGGGAUCCCAGAGCAGAAAGAGGGCCAUUAUGAGACCAAAGCACGGCUGGGCCUUGGUGCACGUGUCCAUCCUGGCUGGACUCCUUCUCACCUGUAACACUGAAGCUACAGAUUCAGAAGAUUCAAGCUGCUCUCAGAGGAUUACUGUACGCCGCCACACUGUAUAUAAAGCUACAGUUGGACAAACGCUGAAGAUCAAUUGCACAGUUUUCUUCUGUGAUGAUACGCCACCGACAGUAUCCUGGGAAAAAAACUCAUUCCUCAUCCCAGUCAACAAAACCAGUCACAUCAACACUGAAUGGUCUUUGAUUAACAAACAGGAAGGAGUUUCACUUCUGAGCUUUAAAAAAAUUCACCUCAGUGAUUCUGGUCGAUAUAACUGUCAAAUGAAGGGCAGCGUGAGUCACGGCAUUACUCUCAACGUCUAUGGACGAUCCAAAAAGGAGAACAAAACUGAAAACCAGUACAUCUGCAUGGAAGAGCGAACCUUCACACACCGCACCCCAAAAGGAAGCCCUUCUGUGACGCCGUCUACCCAGAAAAAGACAACUUUAAUGCCACCAAAGCGUGAGAUUGUAUCAACGCAUAAAGCUCAGAUGAGAGAGGAAAAUAUGACGCAAAAAGAAGAGGAAGGUGCUUCGAUUGUGUACGCCGCAAUCAACCAUCAGCUUCCAUCUACUGCGGCUGGUCCUAGGAGACAAACUCCGCAAGAAGAACCAACCUUGUAUGCAGCGUUACGUGUGGCAUGAGAACCAACUGGACUGAUAUACACCAAAUUGUACAUUAUUACCUCAUGUUUUUGGUAAAACUAAAGAAAUACCUGAUGAUAAACAUUCUUUCCUUUGUAAAAGUAGCUACUUGCAUACUCCACAGUAAGAAAAGUAGCUAUUGGGUGUUCAAGAAGCCGCUAGAUGGUGCUAGCUAUUAGUUUGUGAUGGUGUAGGUGUGGGUUUUAAAGAAAACAACAGCUUUAGUAGUGGUUGGUUACAGUGGACUGGACAGGUCGCGCACGUACAAGUAACUCUAGGCUACACCAAAAAAAGUCACUAGACGUGUUGCUCGUCACUAUUUCGAGAGAAAUAAAAAGUCGCAAAGGAGAUCA
rnacentral:lncRNA from 1 species